AUUGAACGCUGGCGGAAUGCUUUACACAUGCAAGUCGAACGGCAGCACGGACUUCGGUCUGGUGGCGAGUGGCGAACGGGUGAGUAAUGUAUCGGAACGUGCCCAGUCGUGGGGGAUAACGUAGUGAAAAUUACGCUAAUACCGCAUACGAUCUAUGGAUGAAAGCGGGGGAUCGCAAGACCUCGCGCGAUUGGAGCGGCCGAUAUCAGAUUAGGUAGUUGGUGGGGUAAAGGCCCACCAAGCCAACGAUCUGUAGCUGGUCUGAGAGGACGACCAGCCACACUGGAAAUGGGACACGGGCCAGACUCCUACGGGAGGCAGCAGUGGGGAAUUUUGGACAAUGGGCGAAAGCCUGAUCCAGCCAUUCCGCGUGCAGGAUGAAGGCCCUCGGGUUGUAAACUGCUUUUGUACAGAACGAAAAGGUUUCUACUAAUACUAGGAGCUCAUGACGGUACUGUAAGAAUAAGCACCGGCUAACUACGUGCCAGCCGCCGCAGUAA
rnacentral:rRNA from 1 species